rnacentral:rRNA from 1 species
GCCUAUGGCCAUGCUACCCUGAACAAGCCCAAUCUCGUGUGUCUCGGAAGCUAAGCAGGGUCGGGCCUGUUUAGUACUUGGAUGGGAGACCACCUAGGAAGACCAGGUGCUGUAGGCG